AACGGCCAUACCAUGCUGAAUAUACCGGUUCUCGUUAGAUCACCGAAGUCAAGCAUCAUUGGGACGCGGUCAGUACUUGGGUGGGUGACCACCUGGGAACACCGCGUGCCGUU